GAUGAAGAACGUAGCGAAAUGCGAUAAGUAAUGCGAAUUGCAGAAUUCCAGUGAGUCAUCGAAUCUUUGAACGCACAUUGCGCCCUUUGGUAUUCCGAAGGGCAUGCCUGUUCGAGCGUCAUUAUCACCCCUCAAGCCCUCGGCUUGGUGUUGGACGGUUUGGUGGAGGCCCCCUCGGGGGCUCCUGCCCCUCCCAAAGACAAUGACGGCGGCCUCGUUGGACCCCCGGUACACUGAGUUCUUCACGGGACACGUAUCGGACAUAUGGGUUUACGGGACACGGUCUGCCUCCCCUCAGGGAGAAUCUUUCUAAGGUUGACCUCGAAUCAGGUAGGGAUACCCGCUGAACUUAAGCAUAUCAAUAGCGGAGGA
rnacentral:misc_RNA from 1 species